rnacentral:ribozyme from 1 species
UGCCCAGCAAUUCCUAUCUCUACCUCCUCGUGGUACCGGCCGGAAACUAUGAACAACCUUAGGGAAGAUCGGGUAACCAACCCCGGUGGGAACUUUGGUCAUAGGCUGACAGGGGG